rnacentral:rRNA from 1 species
AGAACGAACGCUGGCGGCAUGCCUAAUACAUGCAAGUCGAACGAACACUUCGGUGUUAGUGGCGCACGGGUGCGUAACGCGUGGGAAUCUGCCCUUGGGUUCGGAAUAACAGUUGGAAACGACUGCUAAUACCGGAUGAUAUCGAAAGAUCAAAGAUUUAUCGCCCAGGGAUGAGCCCGCGUAGGAUUAGCUAGUUGGUGAGGUAAGGCUCACCAAGGCGACGAUCCUUAGCUGGUCUGAGAGGAUGAUCAGCCACACUGGGACUGAGACACGGCCCAGACUCCUACGGAGGCAGCAGUGGGGAAUAGUUGGACAAGUGGGCGAAAGCCGUGAAUCCAGGACAAUCGGCCGUCGUGACGUAGAAGAACGGUCCGUUCGGGUUUAGGUAAAGU